AUUGAACGCUGGCGGCAUGCUUUACACAUGCAAGUCGAACGGCAGCGGGGAGGAUCUUGCUUCUCUGCCGGCGAGUGGCGAACGGGUGAGUAAUACAUCUGAACGUGUCGAGAAGAGGGGGAUAACCACCCGAAAGGGUGGCUACUACCGCAUAAAUUCUGAGGAAGAAAGCUGGGGACCUAGGAAUAGGCCUAGCGCUUUUUGAGCGGCCGAUGUCGGAUUAGCUAGUUGGUGAGGUAAAGGCUCACCAAGGCGAAGAUCUGUAGCGGGUCUGAGAGGAUGAUCAGCCACACUGGGACUGAGACACGGCCCAGACUCCUACGGGAGGCAGCAGUGGGGAAUUUUGGACAAUGGGGGCAACCCUGAUCCAGCCAUGCCGCGUGUAUGAAGAAGGCCUUAGGGUUGUAAAGUACUUUUGUUAGGGAAGAAAAGUCAGCUGUGAAUAAUGGCUGAUACUGACGGUACCUAAAGAAUAAGCACCGGCUAACUACGUG
rnacentral:rRNA from 1 species